rnacentral:rRNA from 1 species
UAGGGAAUCUUCGGCAAUGGACGGAAGUCUGACCGAGCAACGCCGCGUGAGUGAAGAAGGUUUUCGGAUCGUAAAGCUCUGUUGUAAGAGAAGAACGAGUGUGAGAGUGGAAAGUUCACACUGUGACGGUAUCUUACCAGAAAGGGACGGCUAACUACGUGCCAGCAGCCGCGGUAAUACGUAGGUCCUGAGCGUUGUCCGGAUUUAUUGGGCGUAAAGCGAGCGCAGGCGGUUAGAUAAGUCUGAAGUUAAAGGCUGUGGCUUAACCAUAGUAGGCUUUGGAAACUGUUUAACUUGAGUGCAAGAGGGGAGAGUGGAAUUCCAUGUGUAGCGGUGAAAUGCGUAGAUAUAUGGAGGAACACCGGUGGCGAAAGCGGCUCUCUGGCUUGUAACUGACGCUGAGGCUCGAAAGCGUGGGGAGCAAACAGGAUUAGAUACCCUGGUAGUCCACGCUGUAAACGAUGAGUGCUAGGUGUUAGACCCUUUCCGGGGUUUAGUGCCGUAGCUAACGCAUUAAGCACUCCGCCUGGGGAGUACGACCGCAAGGUU